rnacentral:rRNA from 1 species
UACGUAGGGUGCAAGCGUUAAUCGGAAUUACUGGGCGUAAAGCGUGCGUAGGCGGUUCUAUAAGACAGAUGUGAAAUCCCCGGGCUCAACCUGGGGACUGCAUUUGUGACUGUAGAGCUGGAGUACGGUAGAGGGGGAUGGAAUUCCGCGUGUAGCAGUGAAAUGCGUAGAUAUGCGGAGGAACACCGAUGGCGAAGGCAAUCCCCUGGACCUGUACUGACGCUGAGGCGCGAAAGCUAGGGGAGCGAACAGG